rnacentral:rRNA from 1 species
CCUACGGGAGGCAGCAGUGGGGAAUAUUGCACAAUGGGGGAAACUCUGAUGCAGUGACGCCGCGUGAGUGAAGAAGUAUUUCGGUAUGUAAAGCUCUAUCAGCAGGGAAGAAAUAAAGUCCUUCGGACUUUGGACGGUACCUGACUAAGAAGCCCCGGCUAACUACGUGCCCGCAGCCGCGGUAAUACGUAGGGGGCAAGCGUUAUCCGGAUUUACUGGGUGUAAAGGGAGCGUAGACGGCAGCACAAGUCUGGAGUGAAAUCCCAUGGCUUAACCAUGGAACUGCUUUGGAAACUGUGCAGCUGGAGUGCAGGAGAGGUAAGCGGAAUUCCUAGUGUAGCGGUGAAAUGCGUAGAUAUUAGGAGGAACACCAGUGGCGAAGGCGGCUUACUGGACUGUAACUGACGUUGAGGCACGAAAGCGUGGGGAGCAAACAGGAUUAGAUACCCUAGUAGUC